GCUGGCGGCGUGCUUAACACAUGCAAGUCGAACGGAAAGGCCCUUCGGGGUACUCGAGUGGCGAACGGGUGAGUAACACGUGGGUGAUCUGCCCUGCACUUUGGGAUAAGCCUGGGAAACUGGGUCUAAUACCGGAUAGGACUACGGCCUGCAUGGGUUGUGGUGGAAAGCUUUUGCGGUGUGGGAUGGGCCCGCGGCCUAUCAGCUUGUUGGUGGGGUGAUGGCCUACCAAGGCGACGACGGGUAGCCGGCCUGAGAGGGUGACCGGCCACACUGGGACUGAGAUACGGCCCAGACUCCUACGGGAGGCAGCAGUGGGGAAUAUUGCACAAUGGGCGCAAGCCUGAUGCAGCGACGCCGCGUGGGGGAUGACGGCCUUCGGGUUGUAAACCUCUUUCAGUAGGGACGAAGCGUAAGUGACGGUACCUAUAGAAGAAGCACCGGCCAACUACGUGCCAGCAGCC
rnacentral:rRNA from 1 species